ACUUGUUUUUUAUGUUUAACAGAAUGCUUUUAUCAGAUUCAAGUACAAGGUCAGUCUGUGAUGUCCUAUGUUCAAAUCUGCAGUUUUAUAGUAAUAUUUAGUUAUUUUCUGUCUGAUUAUUUUACUUUGUAACUUAUAACUUUGUACAUUAAACCACAAUUUCUCCUUUUUCGCAGCUCUUCCUUCAGCUAAUCUAAUAGCGAAUAAACACACGAUCACAGAGUCAGACUCAGUUACGCUGCAUUGUCAGACUCCGUCAUAUAUUGCUGUGGAUCAGUGUUAUUUCUAUUCUGAUCGAGGACAAACUUCUAAAAUCUUCCCCUGCCUGCAGACACUGACAGGAACUGAUCUACUGUCUAUGUCACGGCAGCGUCCACCUGCUAAUGUUGAAGUCAAGUGUUUUUAUACUGUAAAGUAUGAAGACACACGUCCUCCAUCUCCACACAGUGACUCAGUCUCUAUCGCUGUACACAGUAAGCAGCUGCCUUUAGAUUUGAUGGGAUUGAUUGAACUGACUUGAAUCACAGUAAAAACAUUUUGAAUUGUGACAAUCUGACCUGAAUAUCAGAGUUUAAACAUAAUGUACUUGAUGCCAGAAUUACAAACAUUCAUUGUCUUUAUGUUUUGAAGGUCAAAAACCAGAGAUGAGCUGUUCUGAUUUCAGUGACCACGUUGUCUUCACUUGCAUUUUGCCUGAAUCUGUUGAACAUGGUACAAAAUGUAACUUGUACAUUGGAGAAGCACAUCAUCCAGUUUCAACAACAACCGACAUGAAGAAAACCACCUCAAGAAAACAGCAGUUGUGUCAGUUUUAUAUCACGAGAGACGAUUUGCUGAAACUCCUACAAUCAGUUCAGCUAAAGGAGGCCAGCUGUGAUUACAGCCUGGAACAUGAACCCAACUUUUCUUCUGCUCGUAGUGAUGGAUGCAGCUUGACUGAUUCAUUUUCUGGUAUAAAAACACAAGGUGGGUGUGAGUUUAAUGAUGGUUUUGUUAAUAAUCAUGUGAUCCAACAUAAUUUUACCAUUAACAUUUCAGGUCUGGUUCCACCUGAGCUGACAGUGACUCCACUGGUGAUCACAGAGUCAGACUCAGUCACUGUGAACUGUCAGACUCCAUCAUCUGUUCCUCUGAGUCAGUGUUACUUUAACUUUGGUAAAGACCAACCUGCCAAACUCUUCUCCUGUCAGAAGACGCUGACAGGAACUGAACUGCUGCAAAUCACAAACCAAAAUUCACCUGCUGAAGUUGCAGUCAGCUGUUUUUACCUUAAAACGCACAUGUCUCCAAACAGUAAUGUGUUCUCCAUCAGCAUACGACUACCUCGGCCUGAGCUGACAGUGACUCCACUGGUGAUCACAGAGUCAGACUCAGUCACUGUGAACUGUCAGACUCCAUCAUCUGUUACUGUCUAUCAGUGUUUGCUCUACUCAGUGAGGGAUCAAACCUCCAGAGUCGUCUCUUGUCAUCAGACACUGACAGGAACUGAGCUGAUGAAAUUGACUCAUCAAAGUUCACCUGCUGAGAUUGAACUUACAUGUUAUUACAGUGUAGAGCGAAGAGAAUUUCUAUCUCAAUCUCCACUUAGUAACUUUAUCAUCAUACAGAGUAAGUGGCUACUGGGAUAUGUUUUAUUACAGCUUAUUACAAUAUCAACGAUAACUCAACACAACCACAUCUGUACCAUCACAUGCUUCAAGCUGCAGACAGAGCUUUAAG
ensembl:lncRNA